AACUACUGCUGUAUCAACAUGAACAUGCCUGAUCUUCUCUGAUUUCAGAAACUAAGCAGGGUCAGGCCUGGUUAGAACUUGGGUGUGAGUCCACCCUUCACUGAAGAUGAAACCAUGAUCACAUGCUGGCCUAGCCC
rnacentral:rRNA from 1 species